rnacentral:rRNA from 1 species
AACGAACGCUGGCGGCAUGCCUAACACAUGCCAGUCGAACGAGACCUUCGGGUCUAGUGGCGCACGGGUGCGUAACGCGUGGGAACCUGCCCUUAGGUUCGGAAUAACUCCCCGAAAGGGGUGCUAAUACCGGAUAAUGUCUUCGGACAAACGAUUUAUCGCCUUUGGAUGGGCCCGCGUUGGAUUAGCUAGUUGGUAGGGUAAAAGCCUACCAAGGCGACGAUCCAUAGCUGGUCUGAGAGGAUGAUCAGCCACACUGGGACUGAGACACGGCCCAGACUCCUACGGGAGGCAGCAGUGGGGAAUAUUGGACAAUGGGCGAAAGCCUGAUCCAGCAAUGCCGCGUGAGUGAUGAAGGCCUUAGGGUUGUAAAGCUCUUUUACCCGGGAUGAUAAUGACAGUACCGGGAGAAUAAGCACCGGCUAACUCCGUG